rnacentral:rRNA from 1 species
UACGAAGGGGGCUAGCGUUGCUCGGAAUGACUGGGCGUAAAGGGCGCGUAGGCGGCGCAGUUAGUCAGGCGUGAAAUUCCUGGGCUCAACCUGGGGACUGCGCUUGAUACGGCUGUGCUUGAGGAUGGAAGAGGCUCGCGGAAUUCCCAGUGUAGAGGUGAAAUUCGUAGAUAUUGGGAAGAACACCGGUGGCGAAGGCGGCAUCCUGGACCGGCAUUGACGCUGAGGAGCGAAAGCCAGGGGAGCAAACGGG